AUACGGAGGGUGCAAGCGUUAAUCGGAAUUACUGGGCGUAAAGCGUACGUAGGCGGUCCGUUAAGUUAGAUGUGAAAGCCCCGGGCUUAACCUGGGAACUGCAUUUAAAACUGGCGGACUAGAGUUGAGUAGAGGGGAGUGGAAUUUCAGGUGUAACAGUGAAAUGCGUAGAGAUCUGAAGGAACACCAGUGGCGAAGGCGACUCCCUGGACUCGAACUGACGCUGAGGUACGAAAGCGUGGGUAGCAAACGGGAUUAGAAACCCCGGUAGUCC
rnacentral:rRNA from 1 species